rnacentral:rRNA from 1 species
GAUGAACGCUGGCGGCGUGCCUAACACAUGCAAGUCGAGCGAGAUAAAUGUGAGUGGAGACUUCGGUCAAAGCAAUCAUUUUGAAAGCGGCGGACGGGUGAGUAACGCGUGAGCAAUCUGCCCCAUACAAAGGGAUACCCACUGGAAACGGUGAUUAAUACCUUAUAAGACCACGAAGUCGCCUGGCUUAGUGGCCAAAGAUUUAUCGGUAUGGGAUGAGCUCGCGUCUGAUUAGCUAGUUGGUGAGGUAAUGGCUCACCAAGGAGACGAUCAGUAGCCGACCUGAGAGGGUGAACGGCCACACUGGAACUGAGACACGGUCCAGACUCCUACGGGAGGCAGCAGUGGGGAAUAUUGCACAAUGGGCGCAAGCCUGAUGCUGCAACGCCGCGUGAAUGAUGAAGGCCUUCGGGUCGUAAAGUUCUGUCCUAAGGGAAGAAUACAGUGACGGUACCUUAGGAGGAAGCCCCGGCUAACUACGUGCCAGCAGCCGCCGUAA